AUAAUAAAUUAAAACAAAAUACUCACAUAUUCAAAUGGAAAAAAAUACAAAAGAUAUGAGAAAAGUUGCUUAAUGGGUUUGUUAUUCUCCCUUUUUAUUUAAUGUGGUAGCUGAAGAACUAUUCACGAAUAAGGGGAAAUAAAAAUAAGAAAGAAAAUGUGAAAACAAACAAGUGACGAGGAAAAAAUGUGAAGCCGAAGAAUGAAAAGAAAAAUUAAAACGAUGAUGAAUAAGUUGAAAAAGAAAGAACAGAGAAUGAAAUACAAUAUAAUAAUGAAGGUUGGGAGUUAGAAGAAAGUUUAAAUUGUUGACAUGAAAAAGAAACAACAUAAAACGAAUACAAUUUGAUUAGCAUAUGCUUCCAUUUCAGGUACUUUUCGGCGUGUACUUGACUAAAAGUCAACUUGAUUAAAAACUGAACAAUCAUGAAUUUUUGUCCUUAUACUCACAUCUCUGCCAAUGACUCAAGGUAAUUGACUUUGCUGUAUACUGCGUGGGUCCACACUCUCACAAAAUUCACCAAUGCAUGUCCAUUAAACAUUCUUCAUAAUAUUUUUCAAAUGAUGUUUAUUCCUAGGAUUUGUUUGAUCAUAGUCAUAUCUCUUUCCAUUGUAACUGUUACGUUGGGUAACCGGAGAUUAAUGGGCUGGACUUGUAAGGUUGGUCCAAUCGUUUGAAGGAGGAGAUCUCCGAUUCAGUUUGCGCUCGGGAGCCACCAUCCGACUUGUAUGUGUGAAGGAAUGGGGGUGGUACCUGCAAGGACACUCCAAUGCCUAAAUCAGCAAAGGGUUUUUAUAGGUUUACAAAGUAUUGGAACUUAGAGAUACCUGAGAGGUGUCAGUGUAUUUAUAGUGGUGAUCUAAUAACCACCGUUGGAGUAGUUCCACCUUUUAAGGUGGAUAACCGUCCCUUAAUCUUAGAGAAUUUGAGAUAUGGCUCAUGCAAGUGGGUUGAGAGAUUUUAGCGGCAGUUACUUAUUUGAAUAAGUGUUAUCUGCUAGCUAUCCUCAAAGCCCGACUUCUUGGAAAGAAAGCGUGAGUAGAAUCCGACCUCUUCGAGGGAGGUCGGUUGUUAACAAAGGCCAAUCUUUGGAUUGGGCCUUCUUGGCUUAUUUAGUCCUGGGCCUUAGUGUUGGGUUAGGGUAUGAACAGUGCCCCUACUCGAGUCUGAUCUCUUUUGUUAAUGAGUAGGAUUCGAGUAUUUGAACUUGGUCUUGUAACCGAAGUGAUUUUUAGAACCGACGUGAUUUUUAGAACUGACGUGAUUCAAAUUUCUUCAACAGUCACGUCUAAUCAAACGUCGUGUCCGUUAAAGUUUUUGUAUUUACACGUGGGAGCAAUUACAUUGGUAACGGCGCGUCUCUUUAAUGAUGGCGCCAAUUUUACCAUUUUGCCCCUGGCGUGUUUAUAAAUACUUUUUCCUCUCUUUUCUUUAUCUUCUUUCGUCUUUUGAAAUCCCUUACUUGCAAUCCUUACUUUUUCAAAGAGAGAGCGUUUUAGCCUUCCUUCUUGGGGUGUUGCGAUUACUGUUGCCUCCGCUUCUCUUCGCUUCUACCAACAAAGGUUAGUUUUUCUUUCUCCUUUUCUUAGUGCUUUAUUUUGUGCAUUUGGAGGAGUUUUUCGUGUUUGCAGUAAGUUUAUUGGUAGGUCUAGUGACUCUAUUCUUUUUGAGGGACUGCUUUGGCCUUUUAGAGACCCUGUUUUUGAUCUUUUUUCCAUUUUCCUCUGUAGGUCUUGUCGCCUUUCUCCUAUUUCUUUUUACUGGAAAAAGAUGACUUCUCACGUUUCUGAGUGGGUAGAUGAUACGGUUCUUAGGGUAGACACAGACUAUAUCAUCGAUCUCCACACCCACCAUAAGAUUUUUGGCUCUGAUGUGAGCCCAAGUAUGAGUUGAUUACCCCGGGUCCUAAAGACCGGGUUUGUUUUGGGGAGGCUACUGAAGCUGACCCUCCUUUCUUUUUAUGUACGAUUGUUCGUUUACCCGUCUGGGGGUUCUUCUACCAUUUUCUGACUUUGAAAUAGCUGAUUGUCUCAUUGUCGCGUCGCUCCCACCCAACUUCACCCUAACUCUUGGGGUUUCAUGAAAAUUUACUAACUUGUUAGCUGAGAAUUAGAUUUUCUGACUUCUUUGAAGAUUUUCUUUUAUCUUUUUCAUAUGACCAAGCCCUUCAGUGGGCAAAAUAAUAAGCAGCAGUAGGUAUCUUUCUGGGCCAUUCAAGGUCGGAGAGUUUUCUCCAUGUUUGACGAGUCCUUUCAUGAUUUCAAGAAUUUUUAUUCAAAAUCCAAGCAGUAGAGGGUCACCAUCCCUUUUUCCUUGAUGAACAUUCCAGCCCCUUCUUUCCUCUAUAUUGGCGAAAAGCUUCUCCUGUAGAAAAGUACGGUCUAGAUGAUUUGGAUGAAGUUGAGAAGACCAUAGUGGGAUUCUUCCAGGAAGCUUGGGGGAGAGCCCCUUACCUGGAUACCAAAAAAUUUCUUCAGGGGUCUCCGAGUUUUGUGCGGACCCAAUUAGGUAGCUGCGUUGUUGAUUUUGAUAACUUCCGACUUGUAAUCUUUCGAUUUGUUGCUUCCAACUUGUGGUCUUCUGAUUUGUAAACUAAUUCUUUGUUUUCUCCUUUUUCAGAGAUGGUGAAGAAAGGUUCUAGCGCCUCUUACCAAAAAGUCCAGGAGGCCAAGAGGAGGUCUCAGGCCCAGGUUGAUGCUGCCAGGGUUGUUGGCGCUCCUCUUCCUCCUCCUCCUCCUCCUCUCCCUCGUGAUCUGGGGACUUCUCGUCCGAUCUUGGUAACUUCGUCUUCUGCUUCUCCUUUUCCUCCACCCAUCCUUCAGCCCAUUCCUUCCCUGAACCCACCCAGAAAAAAUGCAAGACUUCUGGCUCAUCUUCUGGGGAUUCCUCCUUUGAUGGUCCCAAAUUCAUUCGGAAUCACAUCUUUCCCCAUACUCAAAUUAGUAUGAAUGAUGCUUCCGUUCGAAACCAUCUUAAUACUAUGGUUCAGGGGAGUGUUCAGGCAGCUGGGGUAUGCACGAGGCUCCUUGAUAUUUUGGAAAAAACUCUCCUUAGCUCUUUGGGCUCUACCCAAAAGGUUGAGGAGUUAGAGGGGAGGAUCUUUCUUUAUCAAGAGAAAGAGAAAAGGCUUAAGGAGGAGGUCGCUGAGCUAAGGGAGAAGAGGUUGAUGGGCCAGUGUGGCAUGGCAGAGGGCCUUAAGAAAAAGGUGGAGCAGAAUUAUGUCAGACUUUUUGGGGAGAAUCUUGACCUGAAGAAGGAACUGGCAAGAGGUCGGGAGGCUUACUAGGAUCUGGAAGACUCCAUGGCGGAGAGCUCGGAGGAGGACUGGAGGAUCUUCAAGGAACAAGUCGGCGUUAUCGCUCCUGACCUGGACCUUUUCCCUCUCGAUCCUGAUAAGAUAGUCGUGAAUGGGGCUAUUGUUUCUCCUCCUCGACCUUAGACUGACUCCGAUCUGAAGACUCGCGGACAGAGGAUAAUAGAGUCUCCUCCUCGUGAGGAGUAACAAGAAGGAGACCUGCCGAGUUCUUCAGAGGUUCCCACUCAAGAUCCUGAAGAGGCUGCUCCGUCCUUCCCUGCUGCUGAUCUGACCUCCCUUCCUGCUGGUGAUUCCAAUCUUUCUUCCACUUAAUUGAUUUCUGGCUAUUUUGGGGCCUGUCCUAUGGGCCCCUUUUUUGAACAAUUUUAUUAUCUUUUUGUGGUGAUUUUGUUGUUGACUUUCCUAGCCUUUUAUAGCUGUUAACAAAAAAUGCAUUUAAUUUCUACCCCUUUUUUGGAUAAGGGAUUUAAGAUUAAUUGGUGUGUGCAUGCUUUUCUGCAAUUUUUUCUUUGUUAGGUUUUUUUAUGAAAAAAGCCCCUUUGAUCUUUUUGUUUUGGAAAAACCUUUUAUCUGGGCAGGCUGUGUUUUGUCUAAGUUAUUUGGAUUUUUCAAAGACUUGAGACAGCUUCUGCCUUUAUUUUUUAUGGUUUUCCUUUUAUCUCUUUUUGCAUUCCUCAUAAAUUCAAAUUUUCUUAUUUGAAUUGUUCAUAACUUAGGUUAUUUUCGCGAUGCAUUUCAAUUCUUUCUCGGUUUUUCCGACUUAUUGGUCGUGGUAUUUCCGAGUUAUCAUGAUCUGCUUUUAUAACCUCUUUACACCGACUUGUACCUCGUCAUUUUAUCCUGCCGACCACGUAGGUCGGGCAUGGAAUUUUUACGUUUUGUUAAGCUUAAGUCGGCACGUUUUGUAGAAAAAUGAUAAUAACUAACGGAAUUUUACAAAGAGAUGUAGAGAAAGAUCUUCAUUUAUUGGUGAAGGUACUUUUUGCUACUAAGGGGUUAAAAAUGGCUGUCCCUUAGCCUCCACUUUGAUGCCUCGUUAAAAUCCCCUUCAGGAAAACCCUUCUUUUUGGGAAAAAACCACAAAGUCGGGAAAAAGAGUACAUCAGAGAGUGGAGUUUGCUUUUAACUAUAGUACCUUUUCAUAUUACAAGCAUGCCAGGACCUAGGUAAUUCGUGCCGUUCAAGUCGGUCACCUUGUAGUAGCCUUUUCCUAGGACCUCACUAAUUUUGUAUGGCCCUUUCCAGUUAGCAGUAAGCUUUCCAUCUCCAGACUUGUUGAUGCCAAUAUCGUUUCUUAUCAAAACCAAGUCGUCUGCUAUGAAGCUUCUUCGAAUGAAUUUCUUAUUGUAUCUGUUUGUCAUCCUUUGCUUCAGCGCUGCUUCUCUUAUCUGGUCUUGUUCUCAGACUUCGGGAAGUAACUUGAGUUCUUCUUUGUGCCCCUGUACGUUAUCGACCUCGUUGUAGAAGUUCACCCUUGGACUUUGCUCGUUGAUUUCAACUGAUAUUAUGGCUUCUGUGCCAUAAGCAAGUCGGAAGGGUGUUUCUCCUGUGGUAGACUGAGGUGUAAUCCGAUAUGCCCAUAAUACUUGAGGGAGUUCCUCAGUCCAUGCGCACCUUUUCAUUAAACCUGCCAGUAUAACUUUAUUUACUGUCUCGGUUUGUCCAUUUGCUUGUGGGUGCUCUACCGAAGUGAAUUGAUGCUUGAUCUGCAUGCUAGCUACCAGGUUUUUGAAGGAAGAGUCGGUGAACUGAGUGCCAUUAUCAGUGGUGAUGGAAUGGGGUACCCUAUACCUUGUGAUAAUGUUCUUGUAGAGGAACUUCCGACUUCUCUGGGCUAUGAUGGUAGCUAACGGUUCUGCUUCUAUCCACUUCGUGAAGUAGUCUACUCCCACUAUUAGAUAUUUUACUUGCCCAGACGCUUGGGGAAAGGGUCCUAAUAGAUCCAAUCCCCAUUUUGCAAAAGGCCAUGGAGAAGUUAUGCUAAUGAGCUCCUCGGGGUGAGUGACGUGGAAGUUUGCAUGCAUUUGGCAUGGCUGAUACUUCUUCACGAACUCGGUGGUAUCUUUUUGCAAGAUUGGCCAGUAGAACCCAACUCGGAUUACUUUUUUAGCCAACGACCUUGCUCCGAGAUGAUUUUCAUAGAUACCACUGUGGACUUCCUCAAGUACCUCGAUUUUUUUGAGGUCAGGACGCACUUCAAUAAUGGUGUCGAUAUUUCCCUUUUAUAGAGAACAUUUUCCACCAAGGUAUAGUUUUGUGCUUCCCUUCGGAUUUUCUUGGCCUAUUUUUCCUCUUUGGGUAGGAUGUCGAACAUCAUGUAUUCGAUUAGUGGGUUUAUCCAUCCGAGGUCUAAUCCGGAUACUUCGAGGAUGUCUUGUCUGGCCUCUGUUUUUGUGACAGAGGAUUCUUGGAGAGUUUCUUGGAUCAGGCUUCUAUUAUUCCCUAUUAGCUUGGUACUUGCUAGUUUGGAAAGGGCGUCUGCUCUGCUGUUAAGAUCCCGAAUUAUGUGUUUGACCUCAGUUUCGGCAAAUCGCCCUACAUACUCCAAAGUUUUGUCUAAGUACCUUUUCAUGUUAGGGUCUUUCGCCAGGUACUCUCCAUUGAUUUGUGAAGUCACCACCUGAGAGUUGCUGAACACAACUACUUUGGUUGCGCCGACCUCUUCUGCCAGUUUUAACCCUGCAAUCAAGGCUUCAUAUUCUGCUUGAUUGUUGGAGGCUGAGAAUUCAAAUUUGAGGGAGACUUCUACUUAAGUUCCCUCUUGGUUGACUAAGAUUAUGCCUACGCCACUUCCAACUUUGUUGGAGGAUCCAUCUACGUAUAGCUCCCAUAUAGUGGAAGCUUCCACUUGAUCUCCUGCAUAUUCUGCCACGAAGUCGGUGAGGCAUUGGUCUUUGAUUUCCGUCCAAGUUUUGUACUUAAGGUCGAACUUGGAUAGCUCUAUGGCCCAUUGAACCAUUCUACCCGCAAUGUCCGUCUUUUGGAGGAUUUGCUUCAUGGGUUGGUUCGUUCGAACUCUUAUUGUGUGAGCUUGAAAAUAAAGCCGUAGCCUUCGAGAGGCUACUAUUAAGGCAUACGCAAACUUCUCCAAUUUUUGAUACCUUAAUUCAGGGCCUUGUAGAACUUUGCUGGUGAAGUAUACAGGAUGCUGCUCGACCUCGUCUUCCCGUAUUAGAGCUGAUGCUACAGCUUUGUCAGCUACGGACAAAUACAGGACGAGUUCUUUCCCAACUUUAAGUCGGGUCAGAAUAGGAGGCUGGCUUAAAAACCUUUUGAACUCCUGGAAUGCUUCUUCGCACUCUAGAGUCCAUUCGAACUGGCAUCCUUUUCUUAGUAAAGAAAAGAGUGGUAGGGAUCUUAACGCCAAUCCUGCCAAGAACCUGGAGAGAGCUGCAAGUCGGCCAUAAUCAUGUUCUAUCCAAGAAAAGCACAACUACUAGUGCUUGUGACUUUGAUUCUUUAAUCGAGACAACAAAUUUUGCAAUUAUAAGCAAAACAAGAGUAGCGAGAAUCGAGAACCAAAUUGCAUGUCAGCAUUGGCUAUUAAAAGAUUCAGCCACUGGCUUAUUCAGAACGGACAUCAUCAUUGGCGCUAGUAAUUUGAAGACAGUUUACAAGAGCCAAUUUGAACCACUUCCAACUUUGUUGGAGGAUCCAUCUACGUAUAGCUCCCAUGUAGUGGAAGCUUCGUCUUGAUCUCCUGCAUAUUCUGCCACGAAGUCGGUGAGGCAUUGGUCUUUGAUUGCCGUCCAAGUUUUGUACUUAAGGUCGAACUUGGAUAGCUCUAUGGCCAAUUGAACCAUUCUACCCGCAAUAUCCGUCUUUUGGAGGAUUUGCUUCAUGGGUUGGUUCGUUCGAACUCUUAUUGUGUGAGCUUGAAAAUAAGGCCGUAGCCUUCGAGAGGCUACUAUUAAGGCAUACGCAAACUUCUCCAAUUUUUGAUAGAUUAAUUCAGGGCCUUGUAGAACUUUGCUGAUGAAGUAUACAAGAUGCUGCUCGACCUCGUCUUCCCGUAUUAGAGCUGAUGCUACAGCUUUGUCAGCUACGGACAAAUACAGGACGAGUUCUUUCCCAACUUUAAGUCGGGUCAGAAUAGGAGGCUGGCUUAAAAACCUUUGGAACUCCUGGAAUGCUUCUUCGCACUCAAGAGUCCAUUCGAACUGGCAUCCUUUUCUUAGUAAAGAAAAGAGUGGUAGGGAUCUUAACGCCAAUCCUGCCAAGAACCUGGAGAGGGCUGCAAGUCGGCCAUAAUCAUGUUCUAUCCAAGAAAAGCACAACUACUAGUGCUUGUGACUUUGAUUCUUUAAUCGAGACAACAAAUUUUGCAAUUAUAAGCAAAACAAGAGUAGC